rnacentral:rRNA from 1 species
AGAGUUUGAUCAUGGCUCAGAUUGAACGCUGGCGGCAGGCCUAACACAUGCAAGUCGAACGGUAACAGGAAGAAGCUUGCUUCUUUGCUGACGAGUGGCGGACGGGUGAGUAAUGUCUGGGAAACUGCCUGAUGGAGGGGGAUAACUACUGGAAACGGUAGCUAAUACCGCAUAACGUCGCAAGACCAAAGAGGGGGACCUUCGGGCCUCUCGCCAUCGGAUGUGCCCAGAUGGGAUUAGCUAGUAGGUGGGGUAACGGCUCACCUAGGCGACGAUCCCUAGCUGGUCUGAGAGGAUGACCAGCCACACUGGAACUGAGACACGGUCCAGACUCCUACGGGAGGCAGCAGUGGGGAAUAUUGCACAAUGGGCGCAAGCCUGAUGCAGCCAUGCCGCGUGUAUGAAGAAGGCCUUCGGGUUGUAAAGUACUUUCAGCGGGGAGGAAGGGAGUAAAGUUAAUACCUUUGCCCAUUGACGUUACCCGCAGAAGAAGCACCGGCUAACUCCGUGCCAGCAGCCGCGGUAAUACGGACGGUGCAAGCGUUAAUCGGAAUUACUGGGCGUAAAGCGCACGCAGGCGGUUUGUUAAGUCAGAUGUGAAAUCCCCGGGCUCAACCUGGGAACUGCAUCUGAUACUGGCAAGCUUGAGUCUCGUAGAGGGGGGUAGAAUUCCAGGUGUAGCGGUGAAAUGCGUAGAGAUCUGGAGGAAUACCGGUGGCGAAGGCGGCCCCCUGGACGAAGACUGACGCUCAGGUGCGAAAGCGUGGGGAGCAAACAGGAUUAGAUACCCUGGUAGUCCACGCCGUAAACGAUGUCGACUUGGAGGUUGUGCCCUUGAGGCGUGGCUUCCGGAGCUAACGCGUUAAGUCGACCGCCUGGGGAGUACGGCCGCAAGGUUAAAACUCAAAUGAAUUGACGGGGGCCCGCACAAGCGGUGGAGCAUGUGGUUUAAUUCGAUGCAACGCGAAGAACCUUACCUGGUCUUGACAUCCACGGAAGUUUUCAGAGAUGAGAAUGUGCCUUCGGGAACCGUAAGACAGGUGCUGCAUGGCUGUCGUCAGCUCGUGUUGUGAAAUGUUGGGUUAAGUCCCGCAACGAGCGCAACCCUUAUCCUUUGUUGCCAGCGGUCCGGCCGGGAACUCAAAGGAGACUGCCAGUGAUAAACUGGAGGAAGGUGGGGAUGACGUCAAGUCAUCAUGGCCCUUACGACCAGGGCUACACACGUGCUACAAUGGCGCAUACAAAGAGAAGCGACCUCGCGAGAGCAAGCGGACCUCAUAAAGUGCGUCGUAGUCCGGAUUGGAGUCUGCAACUCGACUCCAUGAAGUCGGAAUCGCUAGUAAUCGUGGAUCAGAAUGCCACGGUGAAUACGUUCCCGGGCCUUGUACACACCGCCCGUCACACCAUGGGAGUGGGUUGCAAAAGAAGUAGGUAGCUUAACCUUCGGGAGGGCGCUUACCACUUUGUGAUUCAUGACUGGGGUGAAGUCGGAACAAGGUAACCGUAGGGGAACCUGCGGUUG